rnacentral:rRNA from 1 species
CUACGUUAAUGGGGGCGCGUUCGUUUUGUUAAAAGACUACGUUUAACAAUAUAACGGGUCUACCCGGAGGGUUUGAAUUGAAUCAGGGCGGGAGGGGAGGGGGAUCUCUGUGAGCGCGAAAAUGUAAAAUUUGGGGGACCCCGGGCGAGCGGCUUUCGGGCGUUAAUGCCUUAGGCUCGAAACUGGGGAACAAACAGGAUAAAAACCUGGUAUCCACGCGUAAAGAAUAUUAUGGGGUGGGGGUUUAAAACUUUCGUGCCGCCAGAAACGCCAUUAGUAAUCCCCUUGGGAGUACGUUGGCAGGAUGAAACUCAAAGGAAUGGCGGGGACCCGCACCAGCGGUGGAGCAUGGGGUUUAAUUCGAAGCAACGCGAAGAACCUUACCAAGUCUUGACAUCCUUCUGACGAACACGUAAUGGUGUUUUCUCUUCGGAGCAGAAGAGACAGGUGGUGCAUGGUUUUUUUUCCACCUGUUUCGUGAGAUGUUGGGUUAAGUCCCGCAACGAGCGCAACCCUUAUCUUUAGUAGCCAGCAUUUAAGGUGGGCACUCUAGAGAGACUGCCGGGGAUAACCCGGAGGAAGGUGGGGAUGACGUCAAAUCAUCAUGCCCCUUAUGACUUGGGCUACACACGUGCUACAAUGGCGUAAACAAAGAGAAGCAAAACUGUGAAGUCAAGCAAAUCUCAAAAAUAACGUCUCAGUUCGGAUUGUAGUCUGCAACUCGACUACAUGAAGCUGGAAUCGCUAGUAAUCGCAGAUCAGAACGCUGCGGUGAAUACGUUCCCGGGUCUUGUACACACCGCCCGUCACACCAUGGGAGUGGGUUGCAAAAGAAGUAGGUAGCUUAACCUUCGGGAGGGCGCUUACCACUUUGUGAUUCAUGACUGGGGUGAAGUCGUAACAAGGUAACCAAGGGCGAAUCGCGCCGCUAUC